rnacentral:rRNA from 1 species
GAUCCUGGCUCAGAUGAACGCUAGCGGCAGGCUUAACACAUGCAAGUCGAGGGGUAUAGUAGCAAUACUAGAGACCGGCGCACGGGUGCGUAACGCGUAUGCAACCUACCUUUUACAGAGGGAUAGCCCAGAGAAAUUUGGAUUAAUACCUCAUAGUGUUAUUAGAUGGCAUCAUUUGAUAACUAAAGUUCCAACGGUAAAAGAUGGGCAUGCGUCCUAUUAGCUAGAUGGUAAGGUAACGGCUUACCAUGGCUACGAUGGGUAGGGGUCCUGAGAGGGAGAUCCCCCACACUGGUACUGAGACACGGACCAGACUCCUACGGGAGGCAGCAGUGAGGAAUAUUGGACAAUGGGCGCAAGCCUGAUCCAGCCAUGCCGCGUGCAGGAAGAAGCAUCUAUGGUGUGUAAACUGCUUUUGUACGGGAAGAAACACUCCUACGUGUAGGAGCUUGACGGUACCGUAAGAAUAAGGAUCGGCUAACUCCGUG